rnacentral:rRNA from 1 species
UGGGGAAUAUUGGACAAUGGAGGAAACUCUGAUCCAGCAAUUCUGUGUGUGUGAAGAAGGUUUUAGGACUGUAAAACGCUUUUAGUAGGGAAGAAAAAAAUGACGGUACCUACAGAAGAAGCAACGGCUAAAUACGUGCCAGCAGCCGCGGUAAUACGUAUGUUGCGAGCGUUAUCCGGAAUUAUUGGGCUUAAAGGGCAUCUAGGCGGUAAGACAAGUUGAAGGUGAAAACCUGUGGCUCAACCAUAGGCUUGCCUACAAAACUGUUGAACUAGAGUACUGGAAAGGUGGGUGGAACUACACGAGUAGAGGUGAAAUUCGUAGAUAUGUGUAGGAAUGCCGAUGGUGAAGAUAACUCACUGGACAGAAACUGACGCUGAAGUGCGAAAGCUAGGGGGGCAAACAGG